rnacentral:rRNA from 1 species
UAGGGAAUAUUGGACAAUGGGCGAAAGCCUGAUCCAGCAACGCCGCGUGCGCGAUGACGGCCUUCGGGUUGUAAAGCGCUUUUAGAGGAGAUGAGAAAGGACAGUAUCCUCUGAAUAAGCCUCGGCGAACUACGUGCCAGCAGCCGCGGUAAAACGUAGGAGGCUAGCGUUAUCCGGAUUUAUUGGGCGUAAAGCGCGUGCAGGCGGUCUAGUUAGUUGGAUGUGAAAGCUCCUGGCUUAACUGGGAGAGGUCGUUCAAUACUGCUAGACUAGAGAAUGGGAGAGGGAGGUGGAAUUCCGGGUGUAGUGGUGAAAUGCGUAGAUAUCCGGAGGAACACCAGUGGCGAAAGCGGCCUCCUAGACCACUUCUGACGCUAAGACGCGAAAGCUAGGGUAGCAAACG